GAUAAUAAAGGAAGAAGAUGUUAGUAGCGAUAAUAGAGCAAUUUUCAAAUCAAGAGGGGCGCAUAUCGCGGCUGACAUCCCUCGCCACCGUGAUGCACGCCGGCUUACCAAAAACUCAUACGUCCUCUCGCUAUAAAAGCCAGAGGAGGAGCCGAACAAAAAAGGAGAAGAGAAGGGGGGAGGAAGAGAGGCUACAGUGAGGAGAAAAACAGAAGGGAGACAGUUUAGGAGAACGUGAGAAAAUUGAGAGAUCGGAGAAAUAGUGAGAAAGCAAAAGGGAGAGAAGAGGAAGCAAACCGAACGGAAGCAGAGGACACGGUGAAGCAGAGAACGCAGCACCACCAUCGUCUCUUUCUUCUCAAAACCAGGUGUGUUCACUGCCUUUCUCAGUUCCUACAGAAUGAGAUGAUGCAUGUUAGUAUGUAAAAAACGAAAAGAAAACAUAAGGAAACCAACACCGAGAAUCACCAGUUGCAACACUUUGUUUUUUCUUUUGUUUCAUUCUCGCACAGCAAGAAAGGUGAUGAACAGUG
rnacentral:lncRNA from 1 species